CUUUCAUCUUCGCCUCCUCUCAUCAUCAAUCGCGGAAGAAAAAGCUCCUCACGUUGCAUCACAAUGUCCACGCGAUUCAAUGUUCUAAACGCUUCAGGAAAACACAACUGCGAUGUCGGGGCAAGCUCGAUUAUUCUUCAUCAGACGCGAAAUUGAGGAUGGAAAAAUGAAGAACACGACUUCGAAUUGCAAUCCUUCUCUAAAAUCAACAUCAGUAUCCAAACAUGAGUCAUCAUUUGCAUGCCUAAAAACAGAGAACACGAAAUUGAAAUUGAAGCGAGAAUCUCACCGGAUGGAAGCUUCGAUGCGAAUAAGUAUGAAUUCCCUCCCUUCGAUUUCAAUUUUCUUAUCUUCUUCUUCCUCCUCUGUUUGAUUUCGACUUGCGGUAGAGUUGCGAUGAAUCAUUCCGAGAGAUUGUUGUGUGACUUGAGAUUCAGCUUUAAGAAUUUGUGAAUUAUGGUGGAUGAGUGAAUGAACAGGUACAAUUCUGCAGAUCGAAAAAAUGAGUGGGAAAUUUGGUGAGAAAUUGAGUAGUAAAAAAUGAAAUGUGAGGGUUUAUGUUUGAUUUAAAGAAGUGUGCAGAAAAAAAUGAAAGGGAAUCGAGAUUUACAGAUUAAAAAAUGAGAGGGAAUCGAGAGAGAGGUUUUGAAUGAGGAAUGUGGUUUAAAUAUAGUGAGGUGAAUUCACAGUGAGAAAGUUAUGUUAGUUUAGAAUUCUGUUAGAAGGUUGUUCUAGGAUUGAAUUCAAUUAUGAGUUUGAAACUCUGUUAAUAACUGUAAUAAAACUGUUAGGUUGUUUAGGAUUGAAAAUGGAUCCUAUUAUUUUCUGUUAGAAUUAUUGUUAAUUUAUGUUACUUUUGUUAUCAUGCUUGGAUAUGAAUGUUAGUAAAUGGAUUAGAAAUCAAUAAAACUUGUUAUGUUAGGACUUGCUGGAUUUCUGACUUGCUAUGUAGUCAAGGCAAACAUGGAAGGUUAGGGAAAUUAAGUUAGCUUUGGAUGAAUUAUUUUGAUAGUUAGUUGUUGAUUUUGUUAGAACUGUUAUGUGAAAAUUUUAGGUAUGUUAUACGUUUCAUGAUUCUUGGCUAGUUAACAUGUUAUUAAAAUGCAACCUAUGUGACAAUAUCAUGAAUGUGAAAUGUACAUCUGAUGUUAUUGAAUGCUUGAAAUUCUGUUAGUGAGCUUGUAUGCUUGAAUGAAAUGGUUAUUGAAUCGUAGACUGUUUUUCUUGGAGGAUGGGUUAUGUGAUUGGAUGGAGGGAGGCAUGACCAAAUGGAAAUGUAUAAAGCAUAGGAGAUCAAUGACGGGCUUCCGAAAUUCCAAGCUUCUUCCCUUUUGAUACGAGCUAUAUAAAUAGCACGGGAUGGUGCUAACAUGAUGUAAUAAUAUUAGGACAUGGAUUAGCUUAUCUUCUUAUGCUUGUAAUGGAAAAAAAAAUCACUUAUAAUCAUUUAUGUCAAAAAAAUGCUUAUGUAAUGCAAUUUAAAUUGUGAUUCUUUUGAAAGUGUUGUCGCCCGAGGUGAAUGCCUCGUAAGCUUCAAUGUUUCAAAGGGAUCUAUGACUCUAAGAACCUUUUAGAACAUUGGAUAUUUUUGGUCAA
rnacentral:lncRNA from 1 species